CCAAUGAGCAGGUCUCUGGGCACACGUGAACCAGGAAGCUCUCUCUGGGAACCAAACACAUGGGGCGGGGCCAAAGGCACGCAUGUUUAACUUUAAAUGGAAGUGACUGCUACUCCGCCGCUCUCAUGAGGAGAUGUUUUGAGUGUUCAUCUGAAGGCAGGUUUGCUGGUGACGUCGCCGAGUCGCCACAAAGACGUCUCUUAUGAUGGCGUACGCUCAAAGACGGAGCUAUUAAUAGAGGCCUGAUCCUCCGAUAAGUCUGGUUACAGGAGGAUUAUCUAUGCCAGUGGAUUCAACACCUCACUCUGGGUUGUGCCGGGGGCAAGCGAGCGCACGUGAGCGAGUGUGAGCGCAUGCACGUGUGAGCCAGAGCGUGGCUUCAGGGUUUUGUCCAGGAAACCUCUGUGAGUGAACUGGUCGUUACGUCGUGAAGGUCACGGGGCGGACUUCACCCACGGGGUGACCCUCCUCCCAGAACAAGAUGUACGUACCUGGAGAGAGUCUUGGACCGGAUGAGGGCC